UCUUUUCUUUUAAGACAGAUGCUGUAACGA
rnacentral:piRNA from 1 species